UUAAAGUUAGUACAAAGUUGAGUCAUCUAUUUUGGAACGGAAGGAGUACAUGAUAAGACAUCCUUAAAUUCAGCAUUCAAGGUCGUAAUAAUAUCCUGAUACUACAGAUAUGCUGACAGCAGAGCACGGUGUCCGUACCAAGUGGAACCAAACUUGUAGGCAAGUAAACCUGACACCAUACCAAUAUGUAAAUAAGAAGCAAAAGCGCAAGGAAAACAUAGAUCACACAAAGGACCGAGAAUUAGUGGCAUAAAUUACCAAAAGCAACCGGUUGUCCUAUAGUUCAAAUCAAAUUCUAAAGCGGAGGCUGAAUAUGGUAGAGACCCAUCAUCUUUUUAUUUUAAAACUUGUAGCGCCAGGAAUUACUCAGGGACAUUGUACACUGCAACAAUUUAGUGUUUGCUUGUACAUCACCGAGGACAUAUAGCUCCAUCUGUAAAUUCAGUAAAUUUGUACAAAUUCAGUAUAUUGACAAGGAUCAAUAUGUAGCUGAGCACCCUCUCAUAUUGAUCGUUGUGUACCUAUACACGGGGCAAAUUAGUUACCCACACACAUAUACGCACACACACAUGGGGGUCUAGAAGAAGAAAAACCGGAUCAUCUGUAGGUGUUAUAUCUUUGCAGAAGGUAAAACCUUAGAGGUACCCUAAGUAAAAUUCAAUGUGUGUAAACUGAUCUGACAAGUGAAACUUUAAUUUAACAAACAUGGCAAUAACUAAUUCUGAUAAGAAGACAUGCUUGAUUAUAUGAUCUAAACAACAACCUUGUUAUAUUACCUGACGAUAUAGGGAUGACUAAAACUUAAAGUCCAUAAAUUAAGAAGU
rnacentral:lncRNA from 1 species